GUUGCGUCACGGUUUCGUCACUCAGGCAAAAAAAAUGAUUGAAAAUUGAGGAAGCCUGGGAGAACAACGAAAUAAAAAGAUACAACAAAUAGCUGCAGCUGCGAUGGAGGCUUCCCACUCGCUUCUCACCCACAGACUCCAGUUCAGAUAGACUGGGCCAUGUCUGCUCAGUGGCAACAAUAAGUGUCUUUAUGAGAAAACCUUGUGGCCUGCGAGCACACACAACAAUGAGAGGGAUUAAAGGUCAAGCAACUUGUGGAUUUAAA